rnacentral:rRNA from 1 species
UGAGUAACCUGCCCUUCACUUUGGGAUAACCCUCGGAAACGGGGGCUAAUACCGGAUAUUCAUUUCCUGCUGCAUGGUGGGUUGUGGAAAGAUUUUUGGUGGGGGAUGGGCUCGCGGCCUAUCAGCUUGUUGGUGGGGUGAUGGCCUACCAAGGCGACGACGGGUAGCCGGCCUGAGAGGGCGACCGGCCACACUGGGACUGAGACACGGCCCAGACUCCUACGGGAGGCA